CAAGUCGAACGGUAGAGGGGGCAACCCCUUGAGAGUGGCGAACGGGUGAGUAAUAUAUCGGAACGUGCCCAGUCGUGGGGGAUAACGUAGUGAAAAUUACGCUAAUACCGCAUACGAUCUAAGGAUGAAAGCGGGGGAUCGCAAGACCUCGCGCGACUGGAGCGGCCGAUAUCAGAUUAGGUAGUUGGUAGGGUAAAGGCCUACCAAGCCAACGAUCUGUAGCUGGUCUGAGAGGACGACCAGCCACACUGGAACUGAGACACGGUCCAGACUCCUACGGGAGGCAGCAGUGGGGAAUUUUGGACAAUGGGCGAAAGCCUGAUCCAGCCAUUCCGCGUGCAGGAUGAAGGCCCUCGGGUUGUAAACUGCUUUUGUACAGAACGAAAAGGUUUCUAUUAAUACUAGGAGCUCAUGACGGUACUGUAAGAAUAAGCACCGGCUAACUACGUGCCAGCAGCCGCGGUAAUACGUAGGGUGCAAGCGUUAAUCGGAAUUACUGGGCGUAAAGCGUGCGCAGGCGGUUAUAUAAGUCAGAUGUGAAAUCCCCGGGCUCAACCUGGGAACUGCAUUUGAGACUGUAUAGCUAGAGUACGGUAGAGGGGGAUGGAAUUCCGCGUGUAGCAGUGAAAUGCGUAGAUAUGCGGAGGAACACCGAUGGCGAAGGCAAUCCCCUGGACCUGUACUGACGCUCAUGCACGAAAGCGUGGGGAGCAAACAGGAUUAGAUACCCUGGUAGUCCACGCCCUAAACGAUGUCAACUGGUUGUUGGGUCUUAACUGACUCAGUAACGAAGCUAACGCGUGAAGUGACCGCCUGGGAA
rnacentral:rRNA from 1 species